CCUCUCCCCUCCGCCUUAGGACAUCUGUCCACAGUGCAGCCAGGAACUGUGUGGGAGCCUAAUGACUGCCUGGGAGCUGCCUGGGGCUGUAGAGAUCAUCUGGGCCAACCACUGAAUAUUCGGACAGGGAAACUGAGGUCCAGAGAGAGAAGGAGCAAGAAUGAACCGCUGCAUCCUCCAUCUUGAACUGAAAAGCUGCCGAGGUUGGGCCAUCCCCAGCAGGAGCAUCCCCCGGCUACAGGAGAGCAGGGGCGAGACCUACCCAGAAGACAGAAGAGGCAGGUGUGGGCCUGUGUGAGUGCAGAACAUGGGGGAAAUGGCAGUAAGACCCCCUCCAGAUGUUACAAAAAUAAUUCUGACCUACAGUUUUGUGCAUUGUUUCUGGAAAGUAGUCAGCAGAAGAUCUAUAGCAAAGAAUACCAAACAAUACUAAUCAGGCACGAUUUGUGCUGAGCUACAAGCCAUUUGGAAAAUGUCUUGAACAAUGAGACUUUAAACAAAAUCCACACUGAUGUUCAAAGAGUAGAAAAUGCCAAGCCACUGCUCAGUGAGAACGGGCAUUGUUCCGUACCUCCAGCAGCCUAGAAAGGAGAGGGAAUUCACCUCGCAAGGGUUUCGUAUCAUGAAAUAAAUCAUCUCCCACAUGCCUUG